AACGAACGCUGGCGGCAGGCCUAAAACAUGCAAGUCGAGCGCCCCGCAAGGGGAGCGGCGCACGGGUGAGUAACGCGUGGGAACGUGCCCUUAGGUGCGGAAUAACAACUGGAAACGGUUGCUAAUACCGCAUAAUGCAGCGAUGCCAAAGAUUUAUCGCCUAAGGAUCGGCCCGCGUUAGAUUAGUUUGUUGGUGGGGUAAUGGCCUACCAAGACUACGAUCUAUAGCUGGUCUGAGAGGAUGAUCAGCCACACUGGAACUGAGACACGGUCCAGACUCCUACGGAAGGCAGCAGUUAGGAAUAUUGGACAAUGGGCGAAAGCCUGAUCCAGCCAUGCCGCGUGAACGACGAAGGCCUUCGGGUUGUAAAGCUCUUUUGUCCGGGAAGAUAAUGACUGUACCGGAAGAAUAAAUAUGGGACUGACGGUACCUGCAGAAUAAGCCACGG
rnacentral:rRNA from 1 species